GAUGAAGAACGUAGCGAAAUGCGAUAAGUAAUGUGAAUUGCAGAAUUCAGUGAAUCAUCGAAUCUUUGAACGCACAUUGCGCCCCCUGGUAUUCCGGGGGGCAUGCCUGUUCGAGCGUCAUUUCACCACACAAGCCUCGCUUGGUAUUGGGCAACGCGGUCCGCCGCGUGCCUCAAAUCGACCGGCUGGGUCUUCUGUCCCCUAAGCGUUGUGGAAACUAUUCGCUAAAGGGUGCUCGGGAGGCUACGCCGUAAAACAAACCCAUUUCUAAGGUUGACCUCGGAUCAGGUAGGGAUACCCGCUGAACUUAAGCAUAUCAAUAAGCGGAGGA
rnacentral:misc_RNA from 1 species